GGUUAAGCGACUAGGCGUACACGGUGGAUGCCCUGGCAGUCAGAGGCGAUGAAGGACGUGCUAAUCUGCGAUAAGCGUCGGUGAGGUGAUAUGAACCGUUAUAACCGGCGAUUUCCGAAUGGGGAAACCCAGUGUGUUUCGACACACUAUCAUUAACUGAAUCCAUAGGUUAAUGAGGCGAACCGGGGGAACUGAAACAUCUAAGUACCCCGAGGAAAAGAAAUCAACCGAGAUUCCCCCAGUAGCGGCGAGCGAACGGGGAGGAGCCCAGAGCCUGAAUCAGUGUGUGUGUUAGUGGAAGCGUCUGGAAAGGCGUGCGAUACAGGGUGACAGCCCCGUACACAAAAAUGCACAUAUUGUGAGCUCGAUGAGUAGGGCGGGACACGUGGUAUCCUGUCUGAAUAUGGGGGGACCAUCCUCCAAGGCUAAAUACUCCUGACUGACCGAUAGUGAACCAGUACCGUGAGGGAAAGGCGAAAAGAACCCCGGCGAGGGGAGUGAAAAAGAACCUGAAACCGUGUACGUACAAGCAGUGGGAGCCUCUUUAUGGGGUGACUGCGUACCUUUUGUAUAAUGGGUCAGCGACUUAUAUUCUGUAGCAAGGUUAACCGAAUAGGGGAGCCGAAGGGAAACCGAGUCUUAACUGGGCGUUAAGUUGCAGGGUAUAGACCCGAAACCCGGUGAUCUAGCCAUGGGCAGGUUGAAGGUUGGGUAACACUAACUGGAGGACCGAACCGACUAAUGUUGAAAAAUUAGCGGAUGACUUGUGGCUGGGGGUGAAAGGCCAAUCAAACCGGGAGAUAGCUGGUUCUCCCCGAAAGCUAUUUAGGUAGCGCCUCGUGAAUUCAUCUCCGGGGGUAGAGCACUGUUUCGGCAAGGGGGUCAUCCCGACUUACCAACCCGAUGCAAACUGCGAAUACCGGAGAAUGUUAUCACGGGAGACACACGGCGGGUGCUAACGUCCGUCGUGAAGAGGGAAACAACCCAGACCGCCAGCUAAGGUCCCAAAGUCAUGGUUAAGUGGGAAACGAUGUGGGAAGGCCCAGACAGCCAGGAUGUUGGCUUAGAAGCAGCCAUCAUUUAAAGAAAGCGUAAUAGCUCACUGGUCGAGUCGGCCUGCGCGGAAGAUGUAACGGGGCUAAACCAUGCACCGAAGCUGCGGCAGCGACACUAUGUGUUGUUGGGUAGGGGAGCGUUCUGUAAGCCUGUGAAGGUGGCCUGUGAGGGUUGCUGGAGGUAUCAGAAGUGCGAAUGCUGACAUAAGUAACGAUAAAGCGGGUGAAAAGCCCGCUCGCCGGAAGACCAAGGGUUCCUGUCCAACGUUAAUCGGGGCAGGGUGAGUCGACCCCUAAGGCGAGGCCGAAAGGCGUAGUCGAUGGGAAACAGGUUAAUAUUCCUGUACUUGGUGUUACUGCGAAGGGGGGACGGAGAAGGCUAUGUUGGCCGGGCGACGGUUGUCCCGGUUUAAGCGUGUAGGCUGGUUUUCCAGGCAAAUCCGGAAAACCAAGGCUGAGGCGUGAUGACGAGGCACUACGGUGCUGAAGCGACAAAUGCCCUGCUUCCAGGAAAAGCCUCUAAGCAUCAGGUAACAUCAAAUCGUACCCCAAACCGACACAGGUGGUCAGGUAGAGAAUACCAAGGCGCUUGAGAGAACUCGGGUGAAGGAACUAGGCAAAAUGGUGCCGUAACUUCGGGAGAAGGCACGCUGAUAUGUAGGUGAAGCGACUUGCUCGUGGAGCUGAAAUCAGUCGAAGAUACCAGCUGGCUGCAACUGUUUAUUAAAAACACAGCACUGUGCAAACACGAAAGUGGACGUAUACGGUGUGACGCCUGCCCGGUGCCGGAAGGUUAAUUGAUGGGGUUAGCGGUAACGCGAAGCUCUUGAUCGAAGCCCCGGUAAACGGCGGCCGUAACUAUAACGGUCCUAAGGUAGCGAAAUUCCUUGUCGGGUAAGUUCCGACCUGCACGAAUGGCGUAAUGAUGGCCAGGCUGUCUCCACCCGAGACUCAGUGAAAUUGAACUCGCUGUGAAGAUGCAGUGUACCCGCGGCAAGACGGAAAGACCCCGUGAACCUUUACUAUAGCUUGACACUGAACAUUGAGCCUUGAUGUGUAGGAUAGGUGGGAGGCUUUGAAGUGUGGACGCCAGUCUGCAUGGAGCCGACCUUGAAAUACCACCCUUUAAUGUUUGAUGUUCUAACGUUGGCCCGUAAUCCGGGUUGCGGACAGUGUCUGGUGGGUAGUUUGACUGGGGCGGUCUCCUCCUAAAGAGUAACGGAGGAGCACGAAGGUUGGCUAAUCCUGGUCGGACAUCAGGAGGUUAGUGCAAUGGCAUAAGCCAGCUUGACUGCGAGCGUGACGGCGCGAGCAGGUGCGAAAGCAGGUCAUAGUGAUCCGGUGGUUCUGAAUGGAAGGGCCAUCGCUCAACGGAUAAAAGGUACUCCGGGGAUAACAGGCUGAUACCGCCCAAGAGUUCAUAUCGACGGCGGUGUUUGGCACCUCGAUGUCGGCUCAUCACAUCCUGGGGCUGAAGUAGGUCCCAAGGGUAUGGCUGUUCGCCAUUUAAAGUGGUACGCGAGCUGGGUUUAGAACGUCGUGAGACAGUUCGGUCCCUAUCUGCCGUGGGCGCUGGAGAACUGAGGGGGGCUGCUCCUAGUACGAGAGGACCGGAGUGGACGCAUCACUGGUGUUCGGGUUGUCAUGCCAAUGGCACUGCCCGGUAGCUAAAUGCGGAAGAGAUAAGUGCUGAAAGCAUCUAAGCACGAAACUUGC
rnacentral:rRNA from 1 species